AAAAUUUGUAUCGUACAAAAGUAACAUUAAUUGCUCGUGAAAAUUUCUCUGGAGCAUUAUGAAACUAAAUCGUCACAUGUUUUCUAAACUGUCAACAAAAAACAAGAAAUCAAGGAAAAGUGGUGAUGUAUGAUUAAGGUGACAAUCAGAAUGAUGGUCUGCGCGGUGGUCAAUCCUGGCCACAGCCUCGACACUUGUCCAGAAAGGCCAAUCAGGGCACAAUUAACGA